rfam:Hordeum vulgare subsp. vulgare, WGS project CAJW01000000 data, contig: morex_contig_47916
UACAUACUCCCUCCGUCCGGAAAUACUUGUCCUAAAAAUGAAUAUAAUGAAUGUAUCUAUAACUAAAAUAAGUGUAGAUACAUUCAUCUUUAGGACAAGUAUUUCCGGACGGAGGGAGUAUAUU